rnacentral:lncRNA from 1 species
GAAGGAAGAUGUGCAUGGUUGAAAGAGGUCUUUACAAAUUUGGCUGUGAUGCUUUCUACCGCUUUUCUAACAUUUUUGCUGUUCUGCCAUCAGGGAACAGAUGGGUAUUUAUUUUGCCUUUUCAAAGAUAUUUGGAGAAAGACAUUUUCCAAUUUCCCACGGCAAUCUAUUCUCGUGUACAGCGUCUGAUUUCUUUUAAAGUGACAUGGAAAGUUGUUUAUAUUGUUCCUUGCUUUUUCUUCCUGCAAAUGCAUUUUGUUUUUUGUUUUUUGGGUUUUUUUUACUCCUGGAAACCAAAAUUGGCUGCUUAAAAAUGCAUAUGAACAAUGAACCUGGUUCUUCUCUCUUCCCUGGAGAAAGGUGUGCGAAAACUUUUCCAAAAGGAUGCGAGCAAGGUGAAAGGAAUCCUUGCUGGCCCCCUCCAGAUGGCUGUGGAACCACUCUCCAUGGACUUCAACAAGAGAGGCACCAAGCGGAUACCGGAUUAGUCUGGCGCUUACCCAGAUAAACGACUCAAUCAGUUACUGUCCUUCAUAAUCAAAACUAAAUCAAUAAAUAACGAGGGAGUAACAAUUUGCCGUUUUGAUCUAAUUCCUCAAGUCCAGAUAGGUCCCUGGCCUUGUGACUGUAUGGAUUUAUAGGGCCAACUAAUUGAUUCCUGAAAGAAUUUCUUUUAAGCAGGCUCAAAUCUAAUUGGUCUUCAUUUCCAAAGCAAAAGAGGUACAUUAAGGGUACUUUGGUGAGCGAAAGCACUCCACUGCUCUUUGUCUCCUUGGAGAAUUAUUUUGCAGUAGGAGAUGAGGCACAGUAAUUGAAGUCAAUCAAGGUUAACCAGAGUGUGCCCCGCAGCCCUGCGCCGGGGGCCUUUCGUACACUUGGUCAGUAUUGGCUUCCAGAUCUCCACAGUCAGGGUUAAAGGUGACAAGAGUGGUUUCACACAAAAGAAGAUUCUAAAUGGCUUUCCAGUGAGCACACCAUGUAGUGUCUGAAGCCCCAGGGUUGUUGG